ACCUGGCUGGCUCAGUCGGUAGAGCGUGUGACUCCUGAUCUCAGAGUCAUGGGUUUGAGCCCCGCGUUAGGUG